UUAUACGUAUUCAGAACAUGCUUGUAAAAUAAACAGAAACACUAGAGUAUUACCACUAUAUCAUUAGUUCUUUAAACUAGCAUACGAGUAGAAGGAAUCUACCAUCUAAACUGUUACAGAUUUAUACUCAGUUGGACAAAAUAAUCACUUUACAUGUUUCUAAUAGAUACUAAUAACUACAUAUACAACUUAAUAUACAAUACUACAACUAAAUAAAUUCUAAACUUUAAGACUUUAUUUCAUUUAUGCUUCAAGUUUCAACUACAAGUGUACCAGUAUAGCAAUAUGUACCUGGUAUUUGGAAACAAACAAGAAUAGGAGAUCAGUGAUAGCAGUAGCACUUAACACAGCUACAACAGCAACAAUAGAACCACCAGUAAAGCCAAGCAGGAAAACAAUCGAGGAAUAGAGUUGAAACCAGACAGAAAACCAAAGCAAAAAUCCAACAAUAACUUCAAGAAUUUUCAAACAGAAACACCAACAGAAAGAUCCCAGGAAACUCUAAGUAAAAGCACUCGAAUACCAACAGAGGAACUCAACAACUAGUUGGAUCUCAAUAGUAUCAGAAGACAAACACAAAGCAAGAAAGAAAAGAUGGACAACAGCUUUUGAUUUAUCAAUCAAGAAAGAAACAAACUGAAACUCUUUUUGGUGUGAGCUUAGCCUUUUAUCACUCUAACUGACUGAAACUCUUAGAGUAAGAAUUCCAUCCUAUAUCACUCAAUUUCUCUUAACCG
rnacentral:lncRNA from 1 species